rnacentral:SRP_RNA from 1 species
ACAGGGCAUGGUGGCACUCACCUAUAGUUCCAGCUACUGGGGAGGCUGAGACUUGAGGAUCACUUGAGCCCAGGAGUUCUGAGUUGUAGAGUGCUAUGCCAAUAGUGUCUUCACUAAGUUACACAUCAAUAUGGUGACUUCCUGGGAGCAGGGGACCACCGUGUUGCCCAAGGAGGGGUGAACUGGCCUAGGUUGGAAAUGCAGCAGGUCAAAACUCCUCUACUGAUCAGAAUUAUGUGUUUUAAGACUGAGGUUCAGGAUAAUUCACCAUGAGUGAUGAUUAGAGAACUUGACCU